CAGUCACAGUUCGGAUUGAAGGCUGAAAUUCGCCUUCAUGAAGCCGGAAUUGCUAGUAAUGGCAGGUCAGCAUACUGCCGUGAAUACGCUCCCGGGCCUUGUACACACCGCCCGUCACACCAUGAGAGUUGGGGGAUACCCGAAGCCUGUAAGCCAACAGUUAAACGAGGCAGCAGUCGAAGGUAGAAUCAAUGAUUGGGGUGGAAGUCGUAACAAGGUAUC
rnacentral:rRNA from 1 species